AAGUGGGAGGAUGGAGAGCAAUCACAGUCAGUUGCAGCAGUGAAAGUGAAGAAGAUGACGUUGAAGAGAAGGAAAAGAGCCAUGGAGGAUGAGGAAGAAGUAGAUGCCAUUGGCAAAUGGCCCAAAUGGGAUGAUGAAUCGAUCGAAUUGUUGUGUAAGUUGAAUUGGGAUGAUUUUCAUGGGAAGAUUUGAUGGUUAUUUAUAGUGUUAAUUUAGAAAUUAAAAAAAUAGACCAAUGAUCGAUGAGAUUGAAAUCAUUCAAGGCAGCAUGUGAAGUUUGGGGGAAGGGAAAAAGAAACCUAAUUGAUUAUGAAUUUAUUAGAGGAUAAAGCCAUAAUCGACCGAUGAUUUGAUGGCAGGGGAUUGGAGUCAUAUGUACGUAGUGGAAAAUAAUUCUGAGAUCGAAAAUCAAUUUGCAUGAUUAUUAAUGUCUAUUGAUUAGGGCCUAAUUAAUUACUUAAUUAAUAUUGAUUUAAUUUGGACUUUUCGUUCAAGCUUGUUAAUUGCCACCUUUUUCUUAAUUUCUGUGUUGUUUUUAUUAGGUGUACAAAUAAAAGAACACAUGAAAUUUAAUAUGUAAUUAUAAAAUGAUCCCAUUAUUUCAAUUUUGAUUGUUAUGGAGGAAGGUGCAAAUACUAUAUCAAAAACAUAUACAAACAAUUAAUUAAUCCAAAGAUACUGUAUUUGCAAAAGAGAACAGACGUACUCAUUUGUAUUAGAAUUUACAUUUCCAACUAUUAAAAUAUAUACAUUUUAAUAUCAUAUUUUUCGAUUUUUUUCAAUAACUCUUCUUUCGAAUUUUGAUUGAUUUGAUUAAUGUGUUGUGAGUAAGGGUGAUAUCGGAGCGCUUCGCGGACAGACAGCCUUGUCACGGUAUCUGUUCCCAUUUUGCCAGAGCGGGGCUGAUCAGGUACCUUGAUUUUUGUCCCGAACUCAGUGACCGGGGCACAACCCAAUUGGAAUUAUAAAAAAAUAAUUUAAAAAGUAAACUUAUAUCUAAUAUAAUUUAUUUUAUUUUAUUUUAAAAAAUUAAAAAUUAUAUUUUUUUAAACCACGACCCGGGUUUACCCUAUAACCGGGGCAACAAAGUAAGAGGCAAAAAAAAUAAAAAACAAAGCAGAAUAUUUGUCCCACCCUCGGUUACCACUGAGACGAGCCCACUCUGUUCUCAUCCCUACUUGUGAGUCACAAUCGAUUUAAGAUUUUAAUGCUGUGAGAGUCAGAAAAUAACUUUAAUGAAAAUGUGGCAAUUUUUUCAAUGAAUAUGUAUAUAUUUUACACGAUAUAUAUAUACAUAUUCAAUUUUAUCGGUAAGCAAAUUUUUUAAAAUUACCAGAUAUCAUCAUGAUCGAUUUUUCUUAUCUAAUUGUUCAUUUAAGACCGAAUGGAUGGUUCAGAUUAGAGGAUUUUAAAAAAAAGUUGAAUCUCUUUCAAAAAAAUAUCCUCUAAAAUAAUAAAUAAAUCGAAUUUGAAUAUUUAGAUAUUAAACAAAUUCAAAUAUUUUGUUAUCUGGUUCUCAAUGUCUCAUUAACAAAAAUGAAAAAUAUAUAUAAUAAUAUUCGAACUUUGAAUUUUUCAAAAACUUUAAUAAUCUACUUAAAACUUUAUUUUUGAAUGAGUUUAGUGUAUAUAUAACUAGUUCUUAUAAUAACUUGUUUUGAUCAAUUUACUUCCAUUCCCAAUUUGGGGUUGAACUUUGAAUUCUCUACCUAUGUAAGUGUUGGUACCAGGGCCCGUCCAAACGGAUCCUGCACCGAACAGGCCUGUUAGGCCCAAGGUUAUAGGUUAUGAAUACCUCAUCAAGUGCAAUGGGGAGGAGGAUCGAUUAUUAGUGAGAGCGACACUAGAGAGUUGUGUAUGUAAGCAUCCUAACGCGAGCCCACACACCAUCAGUAAGAUUGAAAAAUCUAAUUUUCUCCCAAUUAGGAUAAUAUUUAGAAUCUAAAGACAUGUUCGGUGUUCAAUUGUGUGUCUAUCAAACGGAAUUCAAUACAAGAAUAAAACUAAUUGAACAAUCCAAUUAAAAGCAUCACUUUAUUAAAUCUUAAUGACUCAGUUCACAAAGAAGUAGAUGAUUAACUAACAUUAACAACCUUAAUUGUUUAACCAACAACUAAAACAAAAACAAUUGCUAAUACAAUAAAUUGUUAAUUCAUGAUAAUUAGAAGUAUUUUUUUUAAUUAAAAUCAACUGAUAAUAUAUAAAUUUCAAAAAAAAUAAAAAAAAAGUAUGAUCACAUGCGAUCCACCUCGCACGCUCCUCAUUGAUCCAACCAAGUGAUUUUACGAUCGUUUAGGUCUUUAACAAUCUUUGGAGACUGAUUUGAUAUUUUUAAAACGUACUAUGUCUCAUCGUUCUCGCGUAGCGGGUCUUGGACAAUGAGGGUGAAAAAACCCUGGUGUGUUUCUGACAUAUUUUUCUUUUUUCUAUGGAAAACUAUAUCAUCACCUUUAGAUCAAUUACAUGUAAGUGAUUAAUUAUAUCGUUUCUACUUUCAAAGAAAGUCUUUCUUUUAAAAGAUAGAUUUUCUUAUGGAUAUUACUUUUUGGAUCAUUUCAUUUUCCACAUUUCUACCUUUUAUGUUUUUUGAUGAGUCAGAAUUUUAUUUGUUGAAUUUCAACUCACUAUUAGUCUAGAUAUUGUAGUUUUUUAAUACAAGUUCUUAUCGAAUUUAAAUUACAAGUAGAUUUUUAACCCACCAUUAGCCAUGAUUAGAAGUAACUUCUUCUAACAUAGUAAACAAAUCUGGGUGUUUAAGUGUUUAGUCAGUUGAGUAGUUAAGUUUGAAGUUUUGUCUAUUACUUUUCCCAAAGAUGGUCCAAGCAAUCCAGUUUCAAUGAAAACUAUUUGUCGUGUGAUUUUUUUCCCAAUGAAGACAUGACAACUUUAAAGUUUCCCUGCGUCCAAACAAAGCGAUAUCAUCACAUAUCAAAUCAUUCGUUAAAAAGAUCUAUCACCAGUUAAAUUAUGAUUGAAAUCAACUACAACUUUAAUAACUAAAAUGAUUUGGAUUACUCCGGGGAAUUUCGGACUUUUGUUCCUCCUCCGACCACCGUCUCUCUAGUGCUAUUAUCAAAGAGAAAGCGAAUGAGCACUCACUACCAAUAGAAUAAGAGUCCACUACUUAGUGAAAGAAGAUUGGUGAUUACAGAGUAAGAAAGAAAAAUGUUGCCGCUCCUCCUCCUCUUCUUCGUCUCCCUUCUUCAUCAACAUGAUGGCCCGGCUGUCUCUGCGCAGAGAAAAUCUUCUAUUUGGAGGACUGUAGACGGUACGUAGGUUGAUUCUUUUAAUUUGUUCAAGCAGGAAGAAUAGGUAACUAUGUAUUAUUUCAACUUCUUUUAAUGAUCGGAACAGGAAGGGCACCGAAGGUGAUAGCCCGGGGGGGAUUUUCAGGGCUGUUCCCUGAUUCCGGCCGUCGAGCUUAUACUCUGGGAGCAACACUAGUUCCCAAGGGUUUAAUUUCAUGGUGUGAUGUAAAACUCACCAAGGAUAAUUUGGGGAUUUGCACUCCUUUCAUAGAGAUAAGCAACUCUACGACGAUUGCUAGCGUUGGGUUAAAUUCGACCAACGUCACUCUCGAAGAAGGCGCACCUCCAGUAUUUGGAUAUUUUCCGUUCAAGUACACUCUCCAUGAAAUGGAGAACGUCACCUGUAAGUUUCGUCUCUGUCGAUCUUUGUCUUUUUCGUUUUCAUUAAUCGGAGUUUAUCGAUCAGUGGUGCAAGGGCUGUUUGUGCGAACCGGUCGAUUCGACGGUCAGGAUCGGAUCACAGAUGUUACCGGUGUUCUUCCGACAUUGAAUUUGUCGAGUAUCUGGUUGAAUAUCAAGCAUGAUAAGUUGUAUCAACGGUACAAUCUCAGCACGUCACGGUUUCUGAGCACGGCGAUGGAAUCCGUCGCCGUCGACUACGUAUCGUCUCCUGAAAUCAAGUUUCUGAAGAAGAUCGCGCCGGAGUACGGUAACAAGACCAAGCUCGUGUUCCAGUUCGUCGAACCAAGCAGUAAUGUCGAACCUUACACGAAACAAACCUACGAGUCGCUUCUGCGGAAUCUGACAUUUGUGAAGACUUUUGCUUCUGGGAUCCUCGUACCGAACAAGUACAUAUUACCGGUAGAUUCCGACAACUAUCUACUGAACAGCACUUCCGUCGUCUCAGAUGCUCAUGAGAUCGGUCUGGAGGUUUAUGCGUCCGGAUUUGCAAAUGAUAAUCUAUUCCCUUAUGACUAUAAUUAUAACCCUGUUUCCGAAUACCUUGCAUACGCGGAUAAUGGCGAUUUCUCCGUCGACGGUUUUCUCACCGAUUUUCCGGCAACGGCAGCAGAAGCCAUAGUUUGCUUUCCCCACAUAAAGAGCAGGGUCGUCGGGGAGAAAAUUCCAUUGGUUAUAUCGCACAACGGUGCAAGUGGAAUAUACCCGGAUUGCACUGAUUUGUCCUACAAACAAGCCAUUGAUGACCGGACUGAUAUAAUCGACUGUCCGGUGCAGGUGACGGAGGACGGUGUGCUUAUAUGCAUGAGUUCAAUGAAUCUGGUCGCCACAACCACCGUUACCACGUCGGAAUUUUCAACUCGUACAUUUACCAUCCCUGAGGUCGAAGAUGGAAUCGGAAUUUACUCGUUCAAUCUGAGUUGGAGCCAAAUCCAAACAUUGAAACCCAAAAUAUCAAACCCUUACUUCCAUCAUUACCAGAUAAAACGGAAUCCCAAGAACGAAAACAGUGGAAGUUUCGUGACUCUCUCCGAUUUUCUCAACCUCACCGCCAACCCCAAUGUGCCUCGAAUCCUUAUCUCCGUUCAGGUACGUGCUCGGAACUGGUAAUAAAUAAGAAUCACCCGUCGUCAUCGAUCGUUUUAAUUGUCUGAAUUUCAGAAUGCGCCGCUUCUGGCAGAGAUAUUAGGGUAUGAUAUGAUCGACCCAAUAAUCCAAAGUUUGAAGAAAAGCAGAAUUGGCAAAGAUAAAAUUCAGAUCAUGUCGGAAAACAGCUCUGUUCUGAGCGUAUUCAAGCAAAAGACGAACUACACCCUUGUGUACAAGGUCGACGAGAUAAUCUCCAACGCCGACGAGUCAUCCAUCAGCAACAUAAAGAAAUUCGCUAGCGUGGUCGCUUUACGCAAAAACUCGAUAUUUCCCCAAUCUCUAGGGUUCAUAACCUUGCAAACUAAGGUUGUGAAAACACUUCACUCUGCAAACAUCUCCGUCUACGUGUUUCUCGUUCGAAACGAAUUCGUAUCCAGACCAUUUGAUUUCUUCUCCGACGCUAUCAUAGAGAUUUACAACUACGUUCAAGGGGCUUCGGUCGACGGUAUCAUCACUGAUUUUCCAGGAACGGCGACUUCGUACAAAAGUCAGUGACCUCAUCAUUUCAUGCAUGUUUCUUCUACUCAUCAUCAUCAUCUCAACUGUGCCGUUUAAUUUGUUGUUGCUGCAGGAAAUCGAUGUCUGAACAGAGAUAACUACCGGAUCCCACUUAUUCCGCCUGGUUUUCUUUUACCUGCUAUUCCGUCCCUUGCACAGCCACCAGUGAUAGCUCCAUAUCCAACCUUAACAUCCCGUGACGUGAUUGAAUCACCCAUGCCUCCUCCGACAUUACAUGCAUCACCGCCUCCAUUGGCACAACUGGUGCCGUCAAGUUCCGGUCAACCUAGUUCGUCUUCAUUGUUGCUAAUUUUCAUGUACAUCUCCUCUCUAAUGCUCGUCCAGGAAACCAACAACACGAUUUGAAGUUUGAACACGAAUAAAAUUAUAUGUAAAUGGAGUUGCAAACACCAAUUAUGAUUUAUAUUAUAUUUUAUAUCAUGGAUUUAUGAUAUAUUUAUUGAUCUCGCAUUAUAAAUACAACACACAAGAAUAGAAUAAAAUAAAAUAAAAUAAAAUAAUGCAAUGUAGCUCAAGGGAUUGAAGAAACUUCAUGGGCAUUGGAAUCCACUGGGGACGCUCUUGCCGCAGUAGUUCAGAAGAAGGCUUAGUGAGACGGGGAGGUUUAGAUGGAGUCCAAGAACAUUGGCUUUUAUUGCAGUGCAAAGACAAACGGCGGCCUCUAGAUCGACCAGUCCCUCGAUCAAUGGGCAGCAUGGUGUCUUCAGUGGAGCGCCAGCCUUGGCGUGGAUCAGUCCAUGUAACACAUCAGCGCAAACACCGAACUUCAGAGCGUCUUUUGGGCACUUGGCUACAGUAGUACUGCUGGAACCAGAUUUGGGGCAUGGUUUUUUCUUGUGAACGGGAGGGAGUGGAGAGCAAUUUCUGCUACUAGCGGUCGUGAGGGUGAGGAAGAUGACGUUGAAGAGGAGGAAAAGAGCCAUGGAAGAUGAAGAAGAAGUGGAUGCCAUUGCCAAAUGAGAUCGAGCUUAGCUAGUCUGAUCUGAUCGAUUGAGGUGGCUGUUGGUGUGAUUUUUAUGGGGAAGGAAGAUGGGUACGUACGUAUUUAUAAUAGCCAUAACAAAUUUACAGACCUAGCUUUGGCCUUCAAAUCAGCUUAGUAUGUGAGGAGAGGUUAAGGAGAAACGACAUGAGAGUUGUAGCUGG
rnacentral:lncRNA from 1 species